CCAUGGCUAGAGCCUAGAUAAAAAAACCUAUGAGCCCACAGGACGUUUCUUUCAGUAGGUCACUCUGAGGAGACACCAAGAGCCUCUUUAGAAGGGUGGGAUGUGCUUUGAGUAAAAUGCCCUGCUCCAACCUGGACCCCUGUGGUCUGAUCCAAGAGGAGGAGAGGAGAAAGCAGGAGGUCUAAGAACCUUGGAGCACUUUCAGCUUAAUGCUUGGAUUUGAGAAAUAUGCUCUUUUCAUCCCUCUGAUUGACUCUUUCUCUGUGUCAAGACUGGAACAGCCCUGAGGUUACAACCUAUGCAGUUUUCCAGGAAGGAAGACU